rnacentral:rRNA from 1 species
GACGAACGCUGGCGGCGUGCUUAACACAUGCAAGUCGAACGGAAAGGCCCUGCUUUUGUGGGGUGCUCGAGUGGCGAACGGGUGAGUAACACGUGAGUAACCUGCCCUUGACUUUGGGAUAACUUCAGGAAACUGGGGCUAAUACCGGAUAGGAGCUCCUGCUGCAUGGUGGGGGUUGGAAAGUUUCGGCGGUUGGGGAUGGACUCGCGGCUUAUCAGCUUGUUGGUGGGGUAGUGGCUUACCAAGGCUUUGACGGGUAGCCGGCCUGAGAGGGUGACCGGCCACAUUGGGACUGAGAUACGGCCCAGACUCCUACGGGAGGCAGCAGUGGGGAAUAUGGCACAAUGGGCGGAAGCCUAAGGCAGCAACGCCGCGUGCGGGAUGACGGCCUUCGGGUUUUAAACCGCUUUCGCCUGGGACGAAGCGUGAGUGACGGUAAUGGGUAAAGAAGCACCGGCUAACUACGUG